UUAAAGAAGUUUAUACCUUCCAUACUUCACGAAUCAGGGAUAGACUAUCAUUUGGUCCUCAAAAUUAUAUUUAUCCUUUAGGAUUAUUUUAUCCUUAUUUUGAUAAAUCGGAAGUGGACGAGCCUUAUCAUAGGUUUUCUCCUAACGAUUUUUUGUUGUGGUUAAAUGCAGUUACCGAGGCGUGGUACAGUGAAUGGGGUAAUCAAGGUAAAUUUUAAAAUACAGUUAAAGUUUUCCUCUUUUUUUAAAAUAUGCAGAUUCUAAGUCCUAUUAUUGAUAUGACUGAAUCCUCCAAAAUCCUGUAAUAACAAUCGUAGUCGAUCCCUUACUGUUCCAAAAUCCUGUUACACUUGACAUAAAGGCAAUUAUUCGUAGAGCCAGACCUGCUCUUUUUACAAGAAAUAUAAAUUAUAGAUUUCAACCCCAACUAGCGGCUGAAAUAUGUGCCACUAAAUAUCGGAAAAAUGGGGCAUUUUGGACAAAAUGCUAUUUUUGGAUGGCGCGUAGCCAGUUGGGGAUGGGAGAGGGAGAGCCACGCUGUAUCAAGUUAUAAAUGUACAUGAAGGCCAAUUAAUUUCAGAAUUUCAAUGGUAUGGAAGAUUCAUAUUUGUAAAUAAUCCUUCAAGGAAUACAAAUAAUAAAACCUAUAUCAAAAGUAUAACAUCUUAAAAUUGAUUGAAUAGACUAGUUUUACUCAUGGAGAUCUUCUAAUACACAGAACAAAUUACUAAAAAUUGGCCCAAUUGCAAAGAAGAAUAAAUUUUCAUUUAUUAAUAAUAUUUUGAUUAACUUUUUAAAUCAUUAUAAAAUAUUUAAUUUUAUAUUUUAUUGUGAUUUAGAUACAG